CUGGACAUCACCUCAACCCACUUCCCAAAUCCAGGGUUCAAACAACUCGCACGUGCAAUCCUCAAGGAGCAAAACGUAUCCGACGAAUACAUGGACAAAAACUACGCAGAAUUGGACAUAGGCAUGGCCUCAUUCUCAAUCAUGCACACAAUUGUCUACCCGAAGUAUGAACUGUUCUCCGCCAGCAGUGCCAUAGGGGGGCUAAUCGGACUCCUUCUAGGGGGAAGUGCAGUUACUCUGGUUGAGUUGGUCGAUUUCAUGGUGACGAUGGCGGAAGAACUGAGAGUGGCUUUGAUGCUGGUACGGCC